UGGGCUCAGAUAUGACUCUUAGUAUUGGGCUCGGGAAAGGUCCAAUUUCAGACUUUAUCAUCAUUGCCCAAUUGUAUACCAACUAUACACUUUAAAUACACUGUGUAUACACUAUUACAAUAUGAUACAACAUCAUGUAUCUCAACACCCCUCCUCAAGUUGGAAGGGGGGAACCACUUGCAACUUGGAAAGCUGCGGAGCCAGCAGAGUACCCGGAAGCGGCUUGGUGAGCAAAUCAGCCAGCUGACGAGAAGUUGGCACAUGAAGCAACCGUAAGAAACCAGAGAGCA
rnacentral:lncRNA from 1 species